UAGAUGGUGUAAUGGUUAUCACACUCGGGUCACAAUCGAGGGAGUUAGGGUUCGAAUCCGGGUCGAAUAA